rnacentral:rRNA from 1 species
UACGUAGGGUGCGAGCGUUGUCCGGAAUUACUGGGCGUAAAGCGCGUGUAGGCGGCUCGGCAAGUCGGGUGUGAAAGCCCUGGGCUUAACCUAGGAAGUGCACUCGAAACUGCCAAGCCUUGAGUUCUGGAGAGGAAGGCGGAAUUCUCGGUGUAGAGGUGAAAUUCGUAGAUAUCGAGAGGAACACCGGUGGCGAAGGCGGCCUUCUGGACAGCAACUGACGCUGAGACGCGAAAGCGUGGGGAGCAAACA